UAAAAAUAAAUUUUAAUUAUGACAUGCAUUUUAACAUUUAUAUAAAUAUAAAUAAUUUAACAACUUCAAUUAGAAAAAAAAUAAAAAUCCCGGGCGUAGCCCGGGUUAAUCCCUAGUUUUUAUAAAUAAAGUAGGCUUUGGUCUCUUCUCCUUUCUUGUGCCACGUCACUAUGGAAGGAGAGGCAAAUUGCACCACGUCAACGCUCACCUUAAACUCCUCGGAAUGGGCCUACGACGACAAUGAAAGAGUUAGUAGUCUAAUGUUUUCAAAACCCAAACAAACACAAUAUUUACGAAGCGCAAGCAGUCUUCUCUCCACCUGCGUUUCCGCUAUGUGUUUCCACUAUUCCUGUUGAGAUUCCCUGCAACCCUCAGACAACAGCUUCAGGUUUCUGUAACGCUUAGACUAGACGAUGAGAUGGUGUCUAUACUUCUAACUAUUAAAUCAAUCCUUCAAUCUCUCCCGCAGCGAUGAAUUCAAUAGCUUCCUUCCCUAAAGUUUCGAUGAAAUUCCUGAAAAAACAUUAUAUAAUAACCGUCUAAGAAAUCUCCAAAUCCAGCUUCUUCAACAGAAUCUAAUCUCUUUCUUACUACAAAACCUGCAACAAUGGUAUCGUACCGAAAAGGGGUCGACAUGCUCCUUCUUGAUGAUAGGUGUCGACAUGCUCCUUCUUGAUGAAAAGGUUUGUCUCUGAACCUGACAGCUUCUCAUAGACUUGAAGACAUCUAAUUUUGUUUGCCUCUUCCCAGGAAACCCUUAUCCAAGGGUCUAUCAGUGAACAUUGGCUUAACUCUUUCCGACAUCUGCUGAGAGAAGGUGCAACUUAUGAGAUUAGCGGAUUGAUGUUGUCAGUAGCAACACGGAAUUGAAGUUCUCAGAUUCAAAAGAAUCGAUACACUUCACAAACUAUACUAAGUGUGUUGAGAGGACCGAAUCACGUGCUUCAAUUCCGUUGGAGCUCUUUACGUUAUGCAGCCUUAAUGUCUUUGGCAAAUACUAAUAGUCAGUUACCUGGUGAUGGAAGCUUGGAACAUGCAAUGAAACGUGAUGCUCCAUUAGUAGCAGAGUAUCUUGGAGGUGCUGUUAACUGUGAUGCUCCUCAUAUUACUGAUCCAAUAGGUGUCUCUUCAUGCAUUGAGAGCUGCCUAGAAGAUGCUGGUGUGUCACCCAAGGACAUAACAAAAACUAACUUUCAGGCUUCCGAAAUUUUGUAAAAAAGGUUUCCAUUUAUUUGUCUGAAUGUUUUUUCAGGUAAACUACAUUUAUGCGCAUGCAACUUCCACUCUUGCUGGUGAUCUUGCUGAGAUCAAUGCCUUAAAAAGGUGUUCAAAAGCAUUGGGAUCAAAAUCUAUGCCACUAAGGUUUUUCCCCAACGCUCAAUUUUAUUUUAAUGAUCUUUUCCUCUUCUAUUUCCUGUAUUGGUUUGUGAAUGUUGAGAUUCAUCUCUUGCCUCUUUCAAUUUUACGAUUGCAUAACAAACCUGAAAUAUGUUUUUCUAUCUGUUCAGAAUGUUGAUUGUUAUAGAAUUACUUAUAUGUUUAAUUUUUGACUCUCUCAUCACCAGGAGCAUUGAGAUCACACAAGUUCAAAGGUUGCAAAUGAAAGUUCAUAAAUAUCUCCAUGAGCAGUUUGAGGUAAUGAAUUCACCUGCAUAGCAGCUAAAGAAACUAACCUUCUUUAUUGCUGAUUUCAAACCAGGAAGAGUAUGAAUUUUUGUUAAUGGUUUAAGCCUGGUUCAUGAAUUGUAGUUAACUUUUAUACCAAAACAUGUUGCAUAUAUGUUUCGCAUAUGCAGCUACCUGCUGAAAUUAGAGAAGAAAAUGUUCAACAAUUGGUAACCAUGACCCGUCUUUCUCUCUUUGUUUCAAUAUAAGGCAGAAAACUAGAAUUUCCUUUGUUUUGCUUUUGAGAAUGAAGGGACUAAGGAUAACCUUUAGUGGACAAAUCCAUAAAUACUAGAACACAGUGGCACAAGUGGAACUCCUUGGAGAUAUUGAAGCUGAUUUACGAUGUUGGUUUAGGAAGCAAUAGCUAUCUAAGUAAUUAUUUCAUUCAUCAGUUUUACUCCACUAGCAAAAAGUACAUUCCCGAACAGUACGUUGGUGAUCUCAUCCCGUUUUAAACUAUUUCAUAAAUAGAUUUGUAUGACCAGUAUAUGAACAUUGUUUAUUCCAAAUCAACAUUCUCUCCUUCCCCGUGUAACAUACAUUCGAUUAUUAAUCCAGUCUGACACAUGAAUAAAAAUCUUCACAAUUUUCUACGUGUGAUAGCAUCAAGAACAACCAAAUACACAUUCUCACAGCCAUUUUUAAAAUACCUUAAAGGCCACGUUCUUCUGCUAUCAAAACAAAGGCCCAAACAAAUGCUAAACCAUUACGUAUAGCGUUAACGACAAAAUGAUGGGCCCCUCAAUAUCCGGCAUCACAUGAA